ensembl:lncRNA
AAAAAAAAUAAAAAUACUAAUAAAUAUUUUAUAAAAUAUUUUAUAUAUUUUAUAAAAUAAAAUAGGGCUUAUUUUAUUAUAUAAAAUAAUACUAAAAAAUACUAUAAUUUGUGCUUUUGUCAGGUCAAUUUAAUGGCAUCACAAACAAAACAACAUCACAAGGCAAAGAUUCACUACACCAAAACAAUGUUUAAGACACAAAAUGAGGAAAAAAUAUAAUGAAAAAUAAUGCCUAAAAUUCACAGUGCUCAUCACAAAUAUAUGCAGUGUACAACAAACAUGCAAAAUAAAUCAAAAUCACAUUCUGUCUGCCUUCUAUUAUCAUUUUCCAUCUGAGGAGAGUCUUCUUCAAUGUUCAGGGACUGCUGGAUUUUUUUUUUAUUUGCUUAAUUUCAUUCAGAAUUCACAGCUUCAAGAUCUGUCAUAAUCAUGAUGAUAAUUGCACACUCAUAAGUUUUCUCAUUAUUUAACCAUUAGUUCUCAUGCUACACAACUCAAACCCACAGGAAAUCAACAUCCCUGUGGAGUCGACUCAAAUCAAACAGCUACUCAAGAUCGCUGAUCACUUGAAAAUGACGAGCAGGUGGAGGUGGAUGUUGAAAAAAAUCAGGAACAAGCCCUCCGUUCAUCAAGCUAAUCACACGAGACGUUAUGCAGUCUGAGAAAGCCUGAGCAUUUCGGUACAUUGUAUUUGAAGGGUUUACAGGGUUUGCAUGGGCGUUUAGUCUCAUGAUUGCUCAGGCAAUGAGAGGUCAAAGGUCAACCUACACACAAGCUGGGGAACAAUAGACCAGUUCUGUGGCGUGUUCAGUGGGAACCGAGAGCGCGGCUCUGCACGUACCCUUUCAUUUCUCUAAUCGGUCCAACAGCACAAUAGUAAAUACAGGGUGGGGACAUCAUAACCACCCAUUUCAGGCCGCCACAUAUCCAUGCUGAACCAGAACGUCCUCGUUGCCUCGGGCAGAAGCUGCUUUUCCCACCACGUCUGCCUGGCAAUGCACAGAGAUUUCACAAGCCGGUUGACAGCAAAGGAACGCACCCUGGCAGAUCACUGUAUGAUGGUUCCUCCUUCACAAAGCUCCGGGUUUGAUGCCGACUGGGUUUUCGGAUCCUGUUGGAUUAGAAUGUGGUUGAAAAAGAACAGAUCAUUGAAUGAACAUUUUUGAUCUAAAUAUUGCAUGCAACCAGAUGGUUUUUUAGCGACUAGGCCUGUGAGCCAAGGACAUAAACGUGAAUGAUGGAAAAGCGGAUUGACUGCAAGUGUAAUUUGCUCAGGUUUCAUCAGAUGUUGAGAGGUUAUACUUUGGAGAUGUUUUCUUCUUUCUCAGCCAGCUUAUACCCAUUGGUUUUCUCUUUUUGUUCUUCAGUGUCAGAUCUAAUGAAAAGAACAGAAGAUGGGCAGUUUAUUGUGGAAAUCUGUAGAACAAUAAAAUUGGAAAACUUGCAUUAAGGUGUGGUCA